rnacentral:rRNA from 1 species
AUUUGUGAAGAUUCCUCCUCCGAAGACGAGGAACUCAUGAUGGCUGCAAUCGUAGGAAAGGAAGAACAAGCCCGGUUGGAUGCUCCACGACAUGGAGGUUCACAACUAGGACGCUAAUCUCUUCAGCGUGAUUUUGCGGGACGCUUUCAGAACCUCCACAAGGACUAUUUUGCUUAGAACUGUACCUUCACCCCGAGGAUGUUGUGCAAUAGGUAUGAAACUGGUGCAUCCGUUUCGUUUUCACCAUAG